AAAGAAUCUUUGAUCUUUUAUAGGUCAAGGGAAAAUGGGCAUUCCGCAUUUGAGCGGUAGCCUGAAAUGUAUGGUUUGUCUCAUCUAUUCGAGAUGCGUAAUAAUAUUAUUUCGUAAAAUCUUUGAUGAUGAGCUACCAAGUCUUUGAUAUAUACUGUCUAAUGCUGUGUACAAUCAAUAGAAAUAUUUUUUG
rnacentral:misc_RNA from 1 species